UACAGAGGGUGCGAACGUUGCUCGGAAUUACUGGGCGUAAAGCGCGUGUAGGCGGAUUGCUAAGUCGGGCGUGAAAUCCCCAGGCUCAACCUGGGAACUGCGCUCGAAACUGGCAGUCUCGAGUAUCGGAGAGGGUGGCGGAAUUCCUGGUGUAGAGGUGAAAUUCGUAGAUAUCAGGAGGAACACCGGUGGCGAAGGCGGCCACCUGGACGAUUACUGACGCUGAGACGCGAAAGCGUGGGGAGCAAACAGG
rnacentral:rRNA from 1 species